AACGAACGCUGGCGGCAGGCCUAACACAUGCAAGUCGAGCGCCCCGCAAGGGGAGCGGCAGACGGGUGAGUAACGCGUGGGAAUCUACCCAUCUCUACGGAAUAACGCAUGGAAACGUGUGCUAAUACCGUAUACGUCCUUCGGGAGAAAGAUUUAUCGGAGAUGGAUGAGCCCGCGUUGGAUUAGCUAGUUGGUGGGGUAAAGGCCUACCAAGGCGACGAUCCAUAGCUGGUCUGAGAGGAUGAUCAGCCACACUGGGACUGAGACACGGCCCAGACUCCUACGGGAGGCAGCAGUGGGGAAUAUUGGACAAUGGGCGCAAGCCUGAUCCAGCCAUGCCGCGUGAGUGAUGAAGGCCAUAGGGUUGUAAAGCUCUUUCACCGUGAAGAUAAUGACGGUAACCGGAGAAGAAGCCCCGGCUAACUUCGUGCCAGCUGCCGCCGUAAUAC
rnacentral:rRNA from 1 species